UAUGAAUGAUUCGCAUUUACCAACUAAUUAAGAUAUUGGGAUAACUUUCUAACUAUUUUUGGUUGAGUCAUUAAAUUUUUAUGUUACUUUGUUUGCUUAUUCUUUUUCGUAAUUUUAACACUCAAAAAUCAAAAUCAUUUAAUUUGAGAAAUAAUAAAAAAGGAAAAAAGGAAAAGAGAAAAAACGAAGGUCAAAUUACUAGAAUCACCUGCUAGGAGCUAGGGUUUGUUACCACCCUAUAAAUAUAAGAGGAGGCCGCAUUUGCACCGUGAGGCGGCGGAAGACGAGGUAAAGAGAGAGUCGGCGGUGAAUUUUGAGCAAGCAUGAGAGCAAAGUGGAAGAAGAAGCGUAUGAGGAGACUGAAAAGGAAGCGCAGAAAGAUGAGACAGAGAUCUAAGUAGAGCAGCAGCAGGGGUCCAGAUGCCUACUGUGGUUUCUUGGUUGAAACUGCUGCUUUUUAUAAUCGCUGUCCAUCUCUGUGGCAGCUCCAAAGAAUGGAGGUUGUCCGUUGUUUGAAGCUGUGCAUUAGUUAAUUUACUAUGUUCUAUGGAGGAGCUUAGUUUUAGUUUUAAGCAUUGGUAGUAAGAAUGUUGGUUUGUGUUGGAUAUAUGUGAGUUAUAUUGAAUGUUCUCUUUCAAGCUGACGUUUUUAAGAGGAUUUCUAUUUGUUUGGGGUUACAUUUCAUUUGAAUAAAUUUUGGCUUUGAACGUUAUUACUU